UCUGAGGCACGUUAUCUGCGAGCCAGGCUGAGUUCUGCAUCCUGGGGGGCAGCACGAAGAGGUACUCGAAGGGCAAGAGAAUUGAAAUACAUCCAGGAGGACUUUUACCUGGCUUUGAAGGAAGGACGUGAUCUGCGUGAGUGCAGAGGCAGUGGGAGAGAUUCCAGGGAAAUCAGGCUCAGCCUAUAUGUAGUUGUGAGUUUGUAUGUGUGGGAUGGGGAGAGACUGGGGGAGUGCUGCGAGGGCCUCUCAUGGGAGAAAAGUGGAGAUGUCUAUUGGUCUCCAAAAGUGGGGACAGCUCACGAAGAGCUCUGGAAGCCUGGGAGACGGCCGUGGAGCAGAGAGCCGAGUGCACAGGCUGCCCCUCCCCCAGCCACCCCAGCAAAGGAUUAUCCGGCCUAAAAUGCUGAUCCUGGCGAGGCUGAGGAUCCCUGGCCUACGGCGUCACAAGUCCAUUGAAGAGCGUUGCUGAGUUGCUGGAUGGAUAGAUGCUGACUCACAGUCCCCAGCUUCUUUGAAGUCUGUGGAACUGGUUAAGAAAUGCAGGAGGCGAGAAGGACAAACUCACGGCUACAACCUGUUUGAAACCUAAUUCUGGCCGCCAUCCAGGAGGCUCUGAGACGUGGUGUCUUGUAUUUAUCACACUGGCAUUUAUCAUGACUAUCAGAUGACGGCCUUGAAGGUUGAAGAUGACUACAGAAAGGUUUGGGUUUCACAGAUUUUUCUUGGUAGCUUGGCCCUUUCCUCAUUUUGUAACCUUACAAGCGGUUACGGUGACCAUAUGGCCAGACUCACCUGCAAUAGUCACGGUUUGCCCCUAAUGCACUGGAGAGAUUAUUCAUAGCACCUCUUUUUACCAUCACAAGUGUCCUGGCUAAGGCAAUAAAUUAUAUGGCCACCUUCCUAUUAAUUGGCCA
ensembl:lncRNA